UGGGGAAUCUUGCGCAAUGGGCGAAAGCCUGACGCAGCCAUGCCGCGCGAAUGAUGAAGGUCUUAGGAUUGUAAAAUUCUUUCACCGGGGACGAUAAUGACGGUACCCGGAGAAGAAGCCCCGGCUAACUUCGUGCCAGCAGCCGCGGUAAUACGAAGGGGGCUAGCGUUGCUCGGAAUUACUGGGCGUAAAGGGAGCGUAGGCGGACAUUUAAGUCAGGGGUGAAAUCCCGGGGCUCAACCUCGGAAUUGCCUUUGAUACUGGGUGUCUUGAGGAUGAGAGAGGUGUGUGGAACUCCGAGUGUAGAGGUGAAAUUCGUAGAUAUUCGGAAGAACACCAGUGGCGAAGGCGACACACUGGCUCAUUACUGACGCUGAGGCUCGAAAGCGUGGGGAGCAAACAGG
rnacentral:rRNA from 1 species